CCUACGGGAGGCAGCAGUGGGGAAUAUUGCACAAUGGAGGAAACUCUGAUGCAGCGAAGCCGCGUGAGUGAAGAAGUCUUUCGGUAUGUAAAGCUCUAUCAACAGGGAAGUAAAUGACGGUACCUGAGUAAGAAGCCACGGCUAACUACGUGCCAGCAGCCGCGGUAAUACGUAGGGAGCAAGCGUUAUCCGGAUUUACUGGGUGUAAGGGGAGCGUAGAGGGCAGCGCAAGUCUGAAGUGAAAUGCCGGGGCUUAACCCCGGAACUGCGUUGGAAACCGUGCAGCUAGAGUGCAGUAGAGGUAAGUGGAAUUCGUGGUGUAGCGGUGAAAUGCUUAGAUAUUAGGAGGAACACCAGUGGCGAAGGCAGCUUACUGGACUGUAACUGACGUUGAGGCUCGAAAGCGUGGGGAGCAAACAGGAUUAGAUACCCGUGUAGUC
rnacentral:rRNA from 1 species